AAGAGUUAGUUUAUAAUUUCAAACAUUGGAUUGUCAAUUCAAAGAUCUUUCUUUGA
rnacentral:tRNA from 1 species